CCUCAUUUCUGCUACUCUUGUGGUAGGUUAGGCCACUUUGCUGUGAGUUGUCCAGAAACUCCCCUCACUGCUGCAGAACUGGCAAGUAAGGAAUCAACAGCUUUUGGUCAAUGGCUGCGAUCAGAAGUUAGAGAACACAACCCUUAUUGGCAUACCUUUUAUGGCGAUCUUGUUAGCCCUACUGAGAUGGAUGAUGUUAUACCUGAAACACAUCCUUCCUUAGUAACCAAGACCCUUGCGCUCCCCACUUCUGAAGUGCCUCUCUCACCCUCUGGGCUUAAUGACCAGCAUGUUGGAGCCUCCUCUACUCAUCGAUAAAAAAACUGCCCCGUUUCCCUCGAGUGGUACAACCCCUGCAUCAUCAACUCAGUCAAGUGUUAUGC
rnacentral:lncRNA from 1 species